GGCUGCUAACCAAAAGGUCGGGUGGUUAAGUGCUUGGCUGCUAACCAAAAGGUCGGUGGUUCGAACCCACCAGCUGCUC
rnacentral:tRNA from 1 species